GUGAACUUCACUACUGCAUGCUACCCAAACAACACAUGCAGAUGUGAGGAUCAGUAUGGUUGGUCAUGUGACCAGUGUCUCUCUUAUGGGUCCUGUGACAACAUCACUGAUGACUCCUGUGGAUGUAUCAAAGCCAUUCCUCCUUAUGGACCGUUUUGUCAGCCAAUCACAAAUCUGACGGCUUGUCCAACACCAUCUCCAAC